rnacentral:lncRNA from 1 species
AUUGAUUUAGUUUGGUUUCAAUUUUAUUUCAUUAAAAGAAUUAGUUUCCAUAGAUUAACUCCAUUAGUUAUUAGUUUGAUUUGUUCACAAUUAUUCAUCAUUGCAAGAAGCAUUAGUGAAUAAAAAAAAACAUUUACAAUCCCAACCCAACUAAUAUGAAAGGGAGAGUUCAUACCCCUAAAAGAACACACUCCCUAUAAAGCACCUCUAAUCCUGCUAAUAGUACAAUUUAACCGCAACUCCUUGGUAGUAAAAAAGUACGAAGCACAGAAUGAAAGCCCUAUGUUUCCACAUAAGUUCACACAACACGACAAUAACGAGUACUGGAUAGUUAUAGGACCAUUAUAGCAUAUAAAUAUUGCAGACUGCAAUGCAGUGCAGUAGUUGUCACAUCUCAUACCCCUUCUUCCUCUUCUUCUUCUUCUUCUUCUUCUGACACAUCACUCUCCACCAAUCCCAGAUGAUUUGGCUUUUGCCUUGACUGAUUUGGAACCCAGUUUUCACUCCAUAUUUACAUGUAUGUUUCUCUGUUUCAUAUAAUUUGCCUUGUGAUAUCUCCUCUUUAACAAGCUACUCCAUGCCCAAAAAACAUUGCCUCCUCUACCUGCCUCUAGCAAAGACCUAUGGGGAAUGACAUUUGCCUUUUAAGAACUGCUCAAUUUGAAACUUUGAAUUAGCUGCCAAGGGGGGAAAACUAACUAAAAAGAUGCUUCCAUGGAAUAAAGGAACAGAAGAGUGUUUGGUAGGAUAGAAAAUCCUCACUUGUUCAAAAAUUUAGUUAUUAUAUUUUGUAUAUUUAACUUUCAUUAAAUAUGUGUGGAUGCAAGAGGAACCAUGUUUGUAAAUGUUUUCUGGCAUGGGGUAGAGUGAGUGCUGAAUUGAAGAGGAAGCUGAGAUAGGCUAAUGGGUAAAGGUCUAAUUGGGUUUUUUUGGGUGCUAAGG